rnacentral:rRNA from 1 species
CCAGACUCCUACGGGAGGCAGCAGUCGGGAAUAUUGCGCAAUGGAGGAAACUCUGACGCAGUGACGCCGCGUAUAGGAAGAAGGUUUUCGGAUUGUAAACUAUUGUCGUUAGGGAAGAUAAAAGACUGUACCUAAGGAGGAAGCCCCGGCUAACUAUGUGCCAGCAGCCGCGGUAAUACAUAGGGGGCAAGCGUUAUCCGGAAUUAUUGGGUGUAAAGGGAGUGCAGGCGGCUUGGCAAGUCUGAUGUGAAAGGCUGGGGCUCAACCCCGGUACUGCAUUGGAAACUACCGGACUGGAGUGUCGGAGGGGUAAGUGGAAUUCCUAGUGUAGCGGUGAAAUGCGUAGAUAUUAGGAGGAACACCAGUGGCGAAGGCGGCUUACUGGACGAUCACUGACGCUGAGGCUCGAAAGUGUGGGGAGCAAACAGGAUUAGAUACCCUGGUAC